UGGGGCGUAGCCAAGCGGUGAAGGCACCGGGUUUUGAUCCCGGCAUUCGGAGGUUCGAAUCCUCCCGCCCCAGCCA
rnacentral:tRNA from 1 species